rnacentral:rRNA from 1 species
ACGGAAGGCAGCAGUGGGGAAUCUUGCGCAAUGGAGGAAACUCUGACGCAGCCAUGCCGCGUGAGUGAUGAAGGCCUUCGGGUUGUAAAGCUCUGUCUAAGGGGACGAAUGAGGUUGAGUCCAACAGGCUUAAUCAGUGACGGUACCCUUAAAGAAAACACCGGCUAACUCCGUGCCAGCAGCCGCGGCAAUACGGGGGGUGUAAGCGUUGUUCGGAAUUACUGGGCGUAAAGGGCGUGCAGGCGGUCACCGCAAGUUAAAUGUGAAAUUCCUGAGCUUAACUCAGGACGUGCGUUUAAGACUGCGGGACUUGAAUACGGGAGAGGGUUGUGGAAUUCCUGGUGUAGAGGUGAAAUUCGUAGAUAUCAGGAGGAACACUCGUGGCGAAGGCGACAACCUGGACCGAUAUUGACGCUGAGACGCGAAAGCGUGGGGAGCGAACAGGAUUAGAUACCCUGGUA